AUUUAAAUAGUUUAUUAAAAUAUUGAUUUGUGGAAUCAAAGUUAUGGGGCACCAUUUUAGAUA
rnacentral:tRNA from 1 species